rnacentral:rRNA from 1 species
UACAGAGGUCCCGAGCGUUGUUCGGAUUCAUUGGGCGUAAAGGGUGCGCAGGUGGCGGGGCAAGUCUGAUGUGAAAUCCCGGGGCUCAACUCCGGAACUGCAUUGGAUACUGCUUUGCUUGAGUACUGGAGAGGAGACUGGAAUUUACGGUGUAGCAGUGAAAUGCGUAGAGAUCGUAAGGAAGACCAGUGGCGAAGGCGAGUCUCUGGACAGUUACUGACACUGAGGCACGAAGGCCAGGGGAGCAAACGGG